GGGGGUGACUGGUUUCGACUUGGGACGGUAGUCCCAGGGGAAGCGGGCCGAGAAUCCAGAGUCAACUCGUAAAUGUCCUCUGGAAACCUAUAACUGCCGAAAACAAUCGCGCAGACUUCGCUCUCGCUGCCUGAGCAGUGACCGAAGGGUCAGACCGGAUGUAGCCUUCCGUCCGGACCCUGGCCUCAUCAAGAAGGCUUGCUGAUCAUCCUGCGUCGCAGGGGCUGAUCGGGACUUUACUGUGACUGGGCCUGUCUGCACAUGCCGAUGUGAGUGCAGGGGCCAAGUAGAACGUAACGUCGGAUGCGCCCGGAGAAGCCCUGGUUCGCCUCUCGAGGACGCGGGUUCAAUUCCCGCCACCUCCACGC
rnacentral:tmRNA from 1 species